rnacentral:lncRNA from 1 species
UCAGCGUGAAACUGAUAACAGAACUGCCAUCGUGUUCAAGCUGGGGCCGCCCCUGACUUGCUUCCUUCCUCUGAGCCUCUGUUCUUCCCGGUGCUGGGGGCUGCUUUGAUCAGGGUUUGGAUUCACUGGUGAUGUCACCGAGUGACUCUAAGAACUUUGCAGAGCUUCCUCGUGAGUCCCUUCCCCCUCACUGCCUUUGACAUUUUUCAUUUAGCAGGCCAGCUCCUGCUUGGGUUACUCAUGCCAGUAAUCCCUGGGCUGGCAGGGGGAUAAUUAGAGAAAGCUGAGUUUAGCUCAAUGGGGAGGUCAAGUUUUCAGACCCACGAUGGGAUCCACACCGAGCAGUAAAAGUGCUUUCUACUGGUGUGGAGUCAACACUUAAAAAAACCUGACGUUUUAAAACAAGUCAGCUGUGGCCCCAAACCAUUCUGCCACUUAAGUCAAACGCUUUAUGACGUUAAUAAAAGAAGGGCUGUGCUAAAUGUGUAUUAUCUUUAUAUUUCCAGGUCUUAGUCCUUAAUUCCACAGAUACUUUCAGCAUCGGGUGUUCACAGGCUGGGAAUCCAAACCCGUGAGCUGCUGGGCAGUGAGGCCAGGCCACCCUCUGACGUAUCCUCCCAGAGCAAUGUCCACAGUGCAAACAAGAACUACUUAGAGUGAUGAACCCUGAGCCAUGCUGCACCAUCUCCUGUUUGAAAGUCUUUUGAGGACAGCGAAAAGUAACAGCCAAGUGACAGGCUGGAGACAGAUUGGGUUCUGAGCGCCGUUUGAGUGGAGGUGAGCCGUAAUCGGACAAAUGAAAGGGGAAAGAUGCUCCCAGUCAGCUGCCUGGUAACUGCAAAGCCCUGAGCCCUCAGGAGAGGAGCCACAAGUCAGCAGAGCACAA